UAGCCUCGUUGUCCCUGACUGAGAACCAUACUUAGGUAGCCUGGUUGUCCCUGUUUGAGAACCAUACUUAGGUAGCCUGGUUGUCCCUGACUGAGAACCAUACUUAGGUAGCCUGGUUGUCCCUGACUGAGAACCAUACUUAGGUAGCCUGGUUGUCCCUGACUGAGAACCAUACUUAGGUAGCCUGGUUGUCCCUGACUGAGAACCAUACUUAGGUAGCCUGGUUGUCCCUGACUGAGAACCAUACUUAGGUAGCCUGGUUGUCCCUGACUGAGAACCAUACUUAGGUAGCCUGGUUGUCCCUGUUUGAGAACCAUACUUAGGUAGCCUGGUUGUCCCUGACUGAGAACCAUACUUAGGUAGCCUGGUUGUCCCUGUUUGAGAACCAUACUUAGGUAGCCUGGUUGUCCCUGACUGAGAACCAUACUUAGGUAGCCUGGUUGUCCCUGACUGAGAACCAUACUUAGGUA